rnacentral:rRNA from 1 species
UUUAUGGAGAGUUUGAUCCUGGCUCAGGAUGAACGCUGGCGGCGUGCCUAAUACAUGCAAGUCGAGCGAACGGACGAGAAGCUUGCUUCUCUGAUGUUAGCGGCGGACGGGUGAGUAACACGUGGAUAACCUACCUAUAAGACUGGGAUAACUUCGGGAAACCGGAGCUAAUACCGGAUGAUAUUUUGAACCGCAUGGUUCAAAAGUGAAAGACGGUCUUGCUGUCACUUAUAGAUGGAUCCGCGCUGCAUUAGCUAGUUGGUAAGGUAACGGCUUACCAAGGCAACGAUGCAUAGCCGACCUGAGAGGGUGAUCGGCCACACUGGAACUGAGACACGGUCCAGACUCCUACGGGAGGCAGCAGUAGGGAAUCUUCCGCAAUGGGCGAAAGCCUGACGGAGCAACGCCGCGUGAGUGAUGAAGGUCUUCGGAUCGUAAAACUCUGUUAUUAGGGAAGAACAUAUGUGUAAGUAACUGUGCACAUCUUGACGGUACCUAAUCAGAAAGCCACGGCUAACUACGUGCCAGCAGCCGCGGUAAUACGUAGGUGGCAAGCGUUAUCCGGAAUUAUUGGGCGUAAAGCGCGCGUAGGCGGUUUUUUAAGUCUGAUGUGAAAGCCCACGGCUCAACCGUGGAGGGUCAUUGGAAACUGGAAAACUUGAGUGCAGAAGAGGAAAGUGGAAUUCCAUGUGUAGCGGUGAAAUGCGCAGAGAUAUGGAGGAACACCAGUGGCGAAGGCGACUUUCUGGUCUGUAACUGACGCUGAUGUGCGAAAGCGUGGGGAUCAAACAGGAUUAGAUACCCUGGUAGUCCACGCCGUAAACGAUGAGUGCUAAGUGUUAGGGGUUUCCGCCCCUUAGUGCUGCAGCUAACGCAUUAAGCACUCCGCCUGGGGAGUACGACCGCAAGGUUGAAACUCAAAGGAAUUGACGGGGACCCGCACAAGCGGUGGAGCAUGUGGUUUAAUUCGAAGCAACGCGAAGAACCUUACCAAAUCUUGACAUCCUUUGACAACUCUAGAGAUAGAGCCUUCCCCUUCGGGGGACAAAGUGACAGGUGGUGCAUGGUUGUCGUCAGCUCGUGUCGUGAGAUGUUGGGUUAAGUCCCGCAACGAGCGCAACCCUUAAGCUUAGUUGCCAUCAUUAAGUUGGGCACUCUAAGUUGACUGCCGGUGACAAACCGGAGGAAGGUGGGGAUGACGUCAAAUCAUCAUGCCCCUUAUGAUUUGGGCUACACACGUGCUACAAUGGACAAUACAAAGGGCAGCGAAACCGCGAGGUCAAGCAAAUCCCAUAAAGUUGUUCUCAGUUCGGAUUGUAGUCUGCAACUCGACUACAUGAAGCUGGAAUCGCUAGUAAUCGUAGAUCAGCAUGCUACGGUGAAUACGUUCCCGGGUCUUGUACACACCGCCCGUCACACCACGAGAGUUUGUAACACCCGAAGCCGGUGGAGUAACCUUUUAGGAGCUAGCCGUCGAAGGUGGGACAAAUGAUUGGGGUGAAGUCGUAACAAGGUAGCCGUAUCGGAAGGUGCGGCUGGAUCACCUCCUUU